GUGGGCUACGGCGACAUGGCGCCAAAGACGUACGUGGGCAUGUUUGUGGGCGCUCUGUGUGCUCUAGCGGGCGUGUUGUGCAUCGCUCUGCCCGUGCCCGUCAUCGUGUCCAAC
rfam:Aplysia californica Shaw potassium channel Kv3.1a mRNA, complete cds.